GAAAUGCCGGAGUAUGCAGAGAAACUGGAACAACUGUUGUGAGGGGUGAAUUUACCUCACUUGUGUCAGUGAAGAUGCCCAAGGAAAAUGCUUUGAAAAUGUCACCAGCAUUCAGGAAAUUUGCUGAACUGGUCUGAGAAUCCCUCAAAAAGAGGUUCUCGUGGCAGGUUCACCACCACGUGAGCACAGCAAAUGGCCAGAGAAGGUGGUGGGGUGGGUGUUGUGGUUUUUUAAUCUCCUCGACGAGACAGGUAACAAGGAUUCCCCUGAACUAUUUGAAAAAACAAAGCAAAAGCAAAAGCCCGGCGCUGUUGGACACCACCUGCUGCCCCCUCAGCCCCGGGCAGACGCCGCCCGUCCCCUCGGGGCCCCCCGGCC
rnacentral:lncRNA from 1 species